CCGGGAUCUGGCAGAGGAGGGCAGGCCGAUACUCGGGUGAGCCUGUGAAAACAGCCGGCAUCUGCCCGGCGCGUCCGAGGGCCUCCAAAUAUGUGCACUCUGUCUGCAUUGCUAAUCAGGACCUCUGAGGAACCUAGUGAAGAAACAUUAAAAGAAAAUUCAAAUGUACUGGGAGUCAGACCCCGAAGACAUACAAGCCCAAAUUGAUGCGCACAUCAUGCUGUCAGCUCCAUGGGGUUUGCAAACAGCUGAGAAAUGACUCCGUCCCUCGUGAUUCUCCAAGACAUUGUCCAGUGGACUUCGUGGACACCAGCUGCCUCUAAACCCCCCUGUUAUUUACUGGAGGGUGCUCUGUAAAGAGGAAAGCACCUUGUUUUUUACUUUAUUCCACAAUUGUGGUCAUUUUUAUAUCACAGUGGUUCCCAAAGCACUUUACAGAGGAAUCUGAAUUCAUCUAUUAUUAUGGGAAAAAUACAGAAUUUCAGGGAACCGAAAUGAGAAAAUCCUUUGGCUGAAAUUAUUUAUUUUUUAUAAAGUCUCUCAGUAACAAAGACCCUAUCUGGGUGGUAAGUAGAUUCAAAACCAUGGGGAAAUGACCCAAAGAUUGCAUUUUGUUUUUACUCUUUUGUUAAUGCUCUCUGGGUCAGUUAGACAAAUGAGAAAAGUCAAUCAUAUUCAGAGUGGGGUAGUCUUUUACUUAGGGCUUGGACAACUAUUUUGCUGGAAAUAUAAAAACAUUAGAGAAUUGAGACAAAAUGUGAUUCCACAUAAAGAUAAGGGAAACAGAGAACGGUAAGAAUUCAUUGCCCUCUUUAGAAUCAGCUUAGAUUUGUGCCGAAUGUUGGUUUUGACUUUAUUGCUUUAAUCCUAAGGGCACCCUUACAAAUCAACAUUGACAUGUGUCCUUAAAAAAUAAUGGGUACCCAACUCUUAAUUACUUAAAUCAUAGUGCAGAAAGAAUUUUCUAGAACCAGCAGACCAAGGGACCAUUCAUAGAAGGAGAGCAGGAUGAACUGGACCUAGGGGGUGGGGAGGAAGCUAUCUAAAUUCCUGAUUGUUCCUUUUCUCAAAAUUCUUUCUGGCAAAGAUUUAAUUGCACCAAAUAUCUAUCAAUUUUAUGAUGGUAAGACUAUCAAACUUGUUUCAUUAAACAUUCUCUCUUCUCCUACAACUCUCUAAACAGGAUUUUCCCAUUUAGCACCCUAUCAAUCCAGAGUUCUGGUUGUACCAUAACUUCAAAGAUCCCUUGUAUCAAAUAUUAAUAUUUGUAUAGUUGUUAAAGUAUUUAAUGAUGUGUACAGGGACUCUAAAAUUAAAUAUAGCAUGUCAUUUAUAGUCUUUUAUAAAACUAUACAUGAAAAAUUA